UAAUACGUAGGGGGCAAGCGUUGUCCGGAUUUAUUGGGCGUAAAGAGCUCGUAGGCGGCUCAGUUAGUCGGAUGUGAAAACUCCAGGCUCAACCUGGAGACGCCAUUCGAUACUGCUGUGGCUAGAGUCCGGUAGGGGAGCACGGAAUUCCUGGUGUAGCGGUGAAAUGCGCAGAUAUCAGGAGGAACACCGGUGGCGAAGGCGGUGCUCUGGGCCGGUACUGACGCUGAGGAGCGAAAGCGUGGGUAGCAAACAGGAUUAGAUACCCUGGUAGUCCACGCCGUAAACGUUGGGCACUAGGUGUGGGUUCCUAUCGACGGGAUCCGUGCCGUAGCUAACGCAAUAAGUGCCCCGCCUGGGGAGUACGGCCGCAAGGCUA
rnacentral:rRNA from 1 species